rnacentral:tRNA from 1 species
UGGGAUGUGGUGAAGUGGUCAACACAUCAGAUUUUGAUUCUGACAUUCGUGGGUUCGAAUCCCACCAUCCUAG